UAUUUCUACUCCUCUUCACCUUUUAUAGAUCUCGCCGGUUACCCUCUUCCGUUACAGUUCGCCGGAGAAGUACAAUUCUAAUUUUCCGAUCGAGACUUUGUUGGAGCCGGAACACUGGAAAUACUUCGAUCGGUACCUAUAUAUAACUUGCAGUUCUGAGUGGCUAAGUGAAUCCAUAGGAAAUGGCUUAUGAUAACUCCUCCACACUUGAGCCCAAACGUUCCCAUCAAUGGUUCAUGGAUGGCAUCGAGCCUGAACUGCUUCCCAACAAGAAGCAAGCCAUUGAAGUACCUAAUCACAGUUCAUUCUCUGGACUUUUAAGUUCCAAUAUUGCCCCCUGGAUGAACACUCCUGGUUUCCACUCAGCACCAGGCCAAUAUGCAGAAAGGCAGUUUGACAAUGACAGCGCAAGAUCGCUCAGCUUUGAUGACAACAGUGUUCCAUCCGUUGGCAUAGGCAACAUGAAUAUGUCUAGAAAGGUGAUGGAAGAUCCAUUUGGAAGUGAUUCCUCAUUUGGUUUAUCCAUAUCCCAUACACUGGAGGAUCAUAGAUUAGGUCUUAACUAUAGUGGUAUCAGAAAGGUCAAAGUCAGCCAGGUGAAGGAGGCUGAGAAUUUCAUGCCUGUGUCAAUGGGUGAUAUCUAUACCAGAGGGAUCAGCAAUGCAAUGCCAACAGAUCAUGCAUUUAGUAAGGCUGAGGAUAAUUGCAUAGCUAUGGGGCUCUCUUUCAAUGGAGGUGAUGAGCAUCUGAUGUCAUUAGGUGACACAUUCAAUAGGGAAGACAACAGUUUCAUAUCUAUGGGUCAACCUUUUAACAAGGUGGAUAGCAAUGAAAUAUCAGUGGGUCACAGCUUCAAAGAGAGCAGCUUACUGUCAAUGAGUCACCCUUUUUGUAAAGAUGAAAGCAAUAUUACUAUCCUGAAUCACAGUUUUAGCAGAGAGGAUGAUAGCACAAUAUCAGUGAGUCACUCAUUCAAUGACAAUAAUACUGCCAUAUCAAUGGGCCAGCAAUUCAGUAAUGAUGAUAGCAAUAUUACAUCAGUUGGACAAACUAUUAAUAAGAUGGCUGACACCAAUCCACCUAUGAGCCACUGCUACAGCAAAGUCGAUGACAAUGCCAUAUCAGUGAGUCAGACCUAUAGCAAAGUUGAAAACAAUAAUUUGUCAAUGAGUCAAUCUUUUGGCAAUGGAGAAAGCAAUAUCAUAUCCUUUGGUGGAUUCAAUGACGAUGACGAUAUAAAUUCUUCUGGAAGGCUGAUUUGCAGUUAUGAUUUAUUAAUGAGUCAGUCUUCAGGCCAACAAUCAGAUAUUGUGGCUGGAAAGCGAUUGGUUGAGUCAAAUGCGGAUAUAGUUACAAGUGCUGCUCAAAUGGCUGGCAGUAAGGAAUUUAUUUCCAAAAAGGAGGAGCAGAAAGCAACUAAAAAGCCUCAUUCGAACAGUUUCCCUUCAAAUGUGAGAAGCUUGCUCUCAACUGGUAUGUUAGAUGGAGUACCUGUCAAGUAUAUAGCUUGGUCCAGAGAGAAGGAACUCCGUGGUAUUAUAAAAGGCUCUGGUUACCUCUGUGGCUGUCAGUCAUGUAAUUUUUCCAAGGCAAUUAAUGCUUAUGAGUUUGAGCGACAUGCUGGUUGUAAGACAAAACACCCUAAUAAUCAUAUAUACUUUGAGAAUGGGAAGACGAUCUAUGGGAUUGUUCAGGAGCUCAGGAACACACCUCAGGAUUUACUAUUUGAAGUUAUUCAGACAAUUACUGGAUCAUCCAUUAACCAAAAAUCAUUUCGCAUCUGGAAAGAAUCUUUUCUAGCUGCGACACGUGAACUUCAGCGUAUAUAUGGGAAGGAUGAGGUCAGACGACUGUCAUAAAGAGGUAUCCAUAUGCAAGAAUGGUUUUUUUUGGGACGCCAUUGACAGAAACUACAGGAGAAUUCAUGAUGCUAAUUCUGCACAACGUGUAUUAACUCCCCUGAAACCUGUAUAUUAAAGCCAGAACAAGCUCAUUCAUACAUUACGAAUUUAAAGAGCUCAGAGAGAAGUUUCACCAAAUUAAUUUGUCAUGUCCACAGAAGCUAUAAAUUUUGUGGGCAAAGUUGGAAGUGGUUCCAAGCUAGUGACUGCGAAGGAGACAUACUGGCAAAACUUCUAUGGUUAUGUACAUGACAGAUUGACAACCAAGGUGCGUGGGUUGCCUGCUUAAAGAAACUUUGUUUUCUCUUUUGCUAUUGGUCCUCAUAGUUGAUCACUCAAUUAUCGCCUUGAUCCUUGGUAAUAAUUCUUGUCAAAUAGUUAUGGCUGUAAAUUAUAUCUUUCCUUUGGUUCUAAAUUUUGAUGUA